UUUUCUUUUCUUUUUUUUUUUUUUAAUAAACUCCCCCACAUUGUCAUCAUUUGUUUGUUUUUUAACCUUUCAGCUUGUAACAAGAACUGGUCUCUCAACACCUAGUGCUUAUACAGUGAUGAUGUAUGCACCUUACCAUGAAGCAGGAACGCAGAAUGCUAGGAGAAUUCUAUUUCUGGAACAAGUAGAUGGUAGUUCACUGUGCUCUGAUUUGAGCCAUGUCCUCUUUCCUGUUCAUGUGAAUACCAGUAGUCUUCAUGUCAGAUUUAAAAUUACAUAAAUUUAAGAAUGUAGUUUGUGCACAACUUCUUGCUCAAUUUCCAGUCUCUGCAGCAUCCAUUAGCUACUACUGGAUUGUCUCUUGUCACCCCUGCACUGUUCUAUAUGAGGAAGAGAGGGCGUAGCUUAGAAAAUCUGAGGUAGUCAAUUACACAAUAAUGAAAAAUGCACUGCUCACACGCUUUUUUUUUUAAUAAAUUUAUUUUUUAUUGAUGUUCAAUUUUCCAACAUAUAGAAUAACACCCAGUGGUCAUCCCAUCAAGUGCCCCCCUCAGUGCCCAUCACCCAGUCACCCCCACCUCCUGCCCACCUCCCUUUCUACCACCCCUAGUUCGUUUCCCAGAGUUAGGAGUCUCUCAUGUUCUGUCUCCCUUUCUGAUAUUUCCCACUCAUUUUUUCUCCUUUCCCGUUUAUUCCCUUUCACUAUUUUUUAUAUUCCCCAAAUGAAUGAGACCAUGUAAUGUUUGUCCUUCUCUGAUUGACUUAUUUCACUCAGCAUAAUACCCUCCAGUUCCAUCCACGUCGAAGCAAAUGGUGGGUAUUUGUCAUUUCUAAUGGCUGAGUAAUAUUCCAUUGUAUACAUAGACCACAUCUUUAUCCAUUCAUCUUUCAAUGGACACCGAGGCUCGCUCUUUCCCUACCCUCCAUUACACUGCUAUUUAAGGGAACUACACAGGCCAAGAUGAGAUGCAUCAUUCCUUCUUCCCCCCACCCCUUUUUUUAACCCCUGGUCAUGUUGCAUGUUGGGAACUGUUUCUGAAUGAAUAUAGAAAGACUGGUGUUAAUGGAAUAGACGCUGAAUACACCUCUGUCUACCUAAGAAAGCAAUCUCCACACAAUAGGGUACUGGCUGCACAAUUUUUGAGUCCGUGUAGCUCCCAUGUUGUAGCUACUUGCAGGUCCCAGAGAUAGGCCAGAAUCUAACCAGCUGUGCUUUUGUGUUUCCAAAGUCAAAGCAUGAGUUUGUCAUGACUUGUGACUCUCAAGCCAGAUGAUUCUCUUCUACACUUUCUGGCACCUUUCCUUGAUAUCUGGGAAAAUAGCUAGAUUCUUCUGAUUAUUUUCAGUGUUUUGAAUUUUGGCCAUGUAUUUCACUAAGUUUUGUUUGUAUCCAGAAUUUCUUGAAAUAAAAGUAAUUGUAUUGGUAUGAAUUGAAACAAUAUAAAGCAUAUGAAGUUGAACAUUAAUUCUUACUCUAACUAGUACCCCAGAGGGCGUUUGGUAUAUAAUUUUGCAGACUAUUUUCCCUAUGAAUGGGUAAAUAUAUGUAUAUAUACUUUUAAAAAUAGCUCAUGCUAUAAAUAUAUUUCUGCAACUUGCUUUUGUCACUUUAUAAAGUAGACUUUGUAUUUUAUAUAAAUACACAGAGAAGGACAAACUUAUUUGUAAUUCAGCAUAAGUAGGAAUUCUCUGAUUAUUUAUUUCUAUUUUUAUCGUGGUUUUUGGCAUAUUUAAGUGUUCUAUUUCUUAUUGUAACAAUUUUGGAAUUUUAUAUUUUUAUAGGAAUGCAUUCAGAUUACUUGUUUUGUUGAUUUUAUUGCCUUAUCAUUAUUCAUAAUAAUAUUAUUAUUACU
rnacentral:lncRNA from 1 species